rnacentral:rRNA from 1 species
UACGGAGGGUGCGAGCGUUGUCCGGAAUCAUUGGGCGUAAAGGGCGCGUAGGUGGCGGGACAAGCGUGCGGUGAAAGCCUGGGGCUCAACCCCGGGUCGGCCGUGCGAACUGUUUUGCUUGAGCACUGUAGAGGCAGGCGGAAUUCCGGGUGUAGCGGUGGAAUGCGCAGAGAUCAGGAGGAACACCCGUAGCGAAGGCGGCACUCUGGGCCGGAACUGACGCUGAGGAGCGAAAGCGUGGGUAGCGAACAGG